rnacentral:rRNA from 1 species
CCCUGAUGUUAGCGGCGGACGGGUGAGUAACACGUGGGUAACCUGCCUGUAAGACUGGGAUAACUCCGGGAAACCGGGGCUAAUACCGGAUGCUUGUUUGAACCGCAUGGUUCAAACAUAAAAGGUGGCUUCGGCUACCACUUACAGAUGGACCCGCGGCGCAUUAGCUGGUUGGUGAGGUAACGGCUCACCAAGGCAACGAUGCGUAGCCGACCUGAGAGGGUGAUCGGCCACACUGGGACUGAGACACGGCCCAGACUCCUACGGGAGGCAGCAGUAGGGAAUCUUCCGCAAUGGACGAAAGUCUGACGGAGCAACGCCGCGUGAGUGAUGAAGGUUUUCGGAUCGUAAAGCUCUGUUGUUAGGGAAGAACAAGUACCGUUCGAAUAGGGCGGUACCUUGACGGUACCUAACCAGAAAGCCACGGCUAACUACGUGCCAGCAGCCGCGGUAAUACGUAGGUGGCAAGCGUUGUCCGGAAUUAUUGGGCGUAAAGGGCUCGCAGGCGGUUUCUUAAGUCUGAUGUGAAAGCCCCCGGCUCAACCGGGGAGGGUCAUUGGAAACUGGGGAACUUGAGUGCAGAAGAGGAGAGUGGAAUUCCACGUGUAGCGGUGAAAUGCGUAGAGAUGUGGAGGAACACCAGUGGCGAAGGCGACUCUCUGGUCUGUAACUGACGCUGAGGAGCGAAAGCGUGGGGAGCGAACAGGAUUAGAUACCCUGGUAGUCCACGCCGUAAACGAUGAGUGCUAAGUGUUAGGGGUUUCCGCCCCUUAGUGCUGCAGCUAACGCAUUAAGCACUCCGCCUGGGGAGUACGGUCGCAGACUGAAACUCAAAGGAAU